rnacentral:rRNA from 1 species
AGUGAACGCUGGCGGUAGGCCUAACACAUGCAAGUCGAACGGCAGCACAGUAAGAGCUUGCUCUUACGGGUGGCGAGUGGCGGACGGGUGAGGAAUACACCGGAAUCUACUUUUUCGUGGGGGAUAACGUAGGGAAACUUACGCUAAUACCGCAUACGACCUACGGGUGAAAGCAGGGGAUCUUCGGACCUUGCGCGAUUGAAUGAGCCGAUGUCGGAUUAGCUAGUUGGCGGGGUAAAGGCCCACCAAGGCGACGAUCCGUAGCUGGUCUGAGAGGAUGAUCAGCCACACUGGAACUGAGACACGGUCCAGACUCCUACGGGAGGCAGCAGUGGGGAAUAUUGGACAAUGGGCGCAAGCCUGAUCCAGCCAUACCGCAUGGGUGAAGAAGGCCUUCGGGUUGUAAAGCCCUUUUGUUGGGAAAGAAAAGCAGCAGGUUAAUACCCCGCUGUUCUGACGGUACCCAAAGAAUAAGCACCGGCUAACUUCGUG